CCCCCCCCCCCCCCCCCCCCCCCCCAAAAAAAAAUAAAAAAGACUGAGAGAGGACAGGACGCCUCCAUGCAUUCACACGACUCCACUGCUGCUCAACACAUUGCUGACCAACCAGCUCACCUUCAGUCUCCCCUGGUUUGAUUGGCGGAGACACGUGGAGCAACAGGUGUUUCCACAACAGAAGAAGAAGAGGUAAAAGAAGGAACCAACAAAGGAGAGAACUGAAAGAGACCACCUGAACAACAAACACCUCUCGGAACCUCAGUACCUUCAAGAGGAUGCCUACAUCUCAAAACAGAUCUGGACACAAACCGUCUGGACUUAAACAUUUGUGUUUGUGGCUCCACCGCUGCUCCUCACCCCCUCCUCCCCCUCCUCUUCCUCUCCCUGUCAACUGUGGCGGCCCCUACUCUCCCCCGGUGUCCUGUCGUCUCCCCCUGCUGGUUGUCCUGCUGCUCUGCAGUCUGCUGCUGAUGCUGCUGAUUCUGCUGUGGAACUACCACUGUCUGUUCAUCUCCCACAUCUGCUCCCAACAGGGGGGGGAGGCGGAGGAGGGCGGAGGGAGGGCCCUGACCCCCUGGCUGUGACCGUGGCUCCACACACCACACUUACAGAACUACAGGCUAUUUCAGGAUUAAAAGAGGUGAAAACUGGGUUGUUUGGCAUCAUGACAAAUGGAAUUAUUCUCAAGACUACUCAGUGCUGCAAUUUUAGUAUUCACUUCCAUAGAGUAGUUAUGAGACUAAAAAGACUUUUAGCCCAAAAAACUGGAUCCUACAUUUCCCAUGAUGCACCUGGCCAGCAUCUUUCAGUGGAGCCUCUAAUAAAAACUAAUGACAUCAUUAUGACAUCAUCAGAGU